AGAGUUUGAUCAUGGCUCAGAACGAACGCUGGCGGCGUGCUUAACACAUGCAAGUCGAACGCGAAAGGGACUUCGGUCCCGAGUAGAGUGGCGCACGGGUGAGUAACGCGUAAGUAAUCUACCCCUGUAUCUGGAAUAACCCACCGAAAGGUGAGCUAAUCCGGAUACGUUCAGACUGGUGCGAAUCAGUGUGAAGAAAGAUGGCCUCUUCUUGAAAGCUAUUGUACAGGGACGAGCUUGCGUACCAUUAGCUAGUUGGUAGGGUAAUGGCCUACCAAGGCAACGAUGGUUAGCGGGUCUGAGAGGAUGAUCCGCCACACUGGAACUGGAACACGGACCAGACUCCUACGGGAGGCAGCAGUGAGGAAUAUUGCGCAAUGGGGGCAACCCUGACGCAGCGACGCCGCGUGGAUGAUGA
rnacentral:rRNA from 1 species